rnacentral:lncRNA from 1 species
UGAACCUACUGUUUCUAAGCUUCUUUUAACGAGUUUUACAUUUUCCAUUUUUUGCAUGAAAUCAGGUCGGUAUCCAAUUUUAACUGUUGAACCUAGUUUAGUCGGGUUCUUUUAACGUUCGUGGUGACUAACCAUCUUUUGCAGUUUCAUACACAGUUCUUGUACGAUGCACGAGUAGUGUUCUUGAGUUAUACUGAUUUCUUACAGUCACCGGCAGUUUGGGCCUUCAAUUGGGAUAGGAAAAAAAAUACUUUUCUAAAUUUUUGCGAGCUCUCAACCAUCCACUUAAAGAAGCACCUUUGUUGGAAAACAAUGGAGAGUAGAAGAAGAUGAAAAUGGAAAUUCCAAAUGGAAUGGAUUUGCAAGACUUGAACGUGCUGAUGGACGUUGUCUUCAAACGAUGUUGCAUCCUCUCCAAAUGCUAUUAAAGUUUCAAAUGGCAAAUAGUUUGUAGGAUUUAUCAAGCCUAAAAAAAGAAUACUAAAGCAGAAGUAAUUCUUUCAAAGUGAACUUAAAGAAAACUUGAAAAUGUUUGAUACAAUCUUUAGAUGAUUUGGGGUAAUGAUAUAGAUUUCAU